rnacentral:rRNA from 1 species
GAACCUUACCUGGGCUCGAACGGCUUCGGACAGACCUUGGAAACAGGGUUUUCCCGCAAGGGACUGGAGUCGAGGUGCUGCAUGGCUGUCGUCAGCUCGUGUCGUGAGAUGUUGGGUUAAGUCCCGCAACGAGCGCAACCCUUGUCCUGUGUUGGCAUGCCGAAAGGCGCAACUCUCAGGAGACCGCCAGCGAUAAGUUGGAGGAAGGUGGGGAUGACGUCAAGUCAUCAUGGCCUUUAUGUCCAGGGCCACACACGUGCUACAAUGGGCGGUACAAAGCGCUGCCAACCCGCGAGGGGGAGCUAAUCGCCAAAAACCGUCCUCAGUUCGGAUUGCAGGCUGCAACUCGCCUGCAUGAAGCUGGAAUCGCUAGUAAUGCUAUAACAGAACGAUAGCGUGAAUACGUUCCCGGGCCUUGUCACACCGA